GGAGCUGUGGCUCAGCGGAAGAACUUCUGCUUUGCACGUAGAAAGUCCCCGGUUCAAUUCCUGGCAGAUCUA
rnacentral:tRNA from 1 species